rnacentral:rRNA from 1 species
UACGUAGGGGGCAAGCGUUGUCCGGAAUCAUUGGGCGUAAAGAGCGUGUAGGCGGCCCGAUAAGUCCGCUGUGAAAGUCCAGGGCUCAACCCUGGAAUGCCGGUGGAUACUGUCGGGCUCGAAUCCGGAAGAGGUGAGUGGAAUUCCUGGUGUAGCGGUGAAAUGCGCAGAUAUCAGGAGGAACACCAACGGCGAAGGCAGCUCGCUGGGACGGUACUGACGCUGAGACGCGAAAGCGUGGGGAGCGAACAGG